rnacentral:rRNA from 1 species
UACGGAGGGGGCGAGCGUUAUUCGGAAUUAUUGGGCGUAAAGGGCGCGUAGGCGGCCGGAUAAGUCAAAGGUGAAAUCCCUCGGCUCAACUGAGGAACUGCCUUUGAAACUGUUUGGCUCGAGUCCGGGAGGGGGUAGCGGAAUUCCCAGUGUAGCGGUGAAAUGCGCAGAUAUCAGGAGGAACACCGGUGGCGAAGGCGGGUCUCUGGGCAACAACUGACGCUGAGGAGCGAAAGCUAGGGGAGCAAACGGG